GGGAUGAGCUGUGGAUAGGGGUGAAAGGCUAAACAAACUCGGAGAUAGCUGGUUCUCCCCGAAAGCUAUUUAGGUAGCGCCUCGUGAACUCAUCUUCGGGGGUAGAGCACUGUUUCGGCUAGGGGGUCAUCCCGACUUACCAACCCGAUGCAAACUACGAAUACCGAAGAAUGUUAUCACGGGAGACACACGGCGGGUGCUAACGUCCGUCGUGAAGAGGGAAACAACCCAGACCGCCAGCUAAGGUCCCUAAAUCAUCGCUAAGUGGUAAACGAUGUGGAAAGUCAUAGACAGCCAGGAUGUUGGCUUAGAAGCAGCCAUCAUUUAAAGAAAGCGUAAUAGCUCACUGAUC
rnacentral:rRNA from 1 species